AUGGAUGGCGCUUAAGCG
rnacentral:siRNA from 1 species